UUAUCGGAGAGUUUGAUCCUGGCUCAGGACGAACGCUGGCGGCGUGCCUAAUACAUGCAAGUCGAGCGGACAGAUGGGAGCUUGCUCCCUGAUGUUAGCGGCGGACGGGUGAGUAACACGUGGGUAACCUGCCUGUAAGACUGGGAUAACUCCGGGAAACCGGGGCUAAUACCGGAUACUUGUUUGAACCGCAUG
rnacentral:rRNA from 1 species